rnacentral:rRNA from 1 species
AUGAGUAUACUCAGUUGGAACUGUCGGGGAGGGGGGAAUUCCCGCACAGUUCAUGAGCUUGCGACGAUUUGCCAGUCGCAUUCCCCCAAUUUGGUAUUCCUGUGUGAAACUAGGCAAAAGGCGGAAAAGAUGAGGAGGAUUCGGGAUCGUCUCGGCCUCAAGGGGUUUUGUGGUGUGGAUACUGAAGGGAUGAGUGGUGGUUUGGCCCUGUUUUGGCACGAGUCGUAUGUAGUGGAGAUUCUGAAUAAAACAGAACGAUAUAUUGAUGCUCAUGUACAGAUAGAUCAAAAUGCAGAAAAGUGGAGGAUCACUUGCGUUUAUGGUGAGCCGAGAGUUGAGAAUAGAAAUCUUAUGUGGGCAACAAUGCAGAACCUUAAAACCGUGAGUGAUUUACCUUGGUUGGUGCUGGGUGACUUCAAUGAGGCUAUGUGGGAUUUUGAACAUAUGUCGGCGACUCCGAGAGCUGAAUCUCAAAUGGUUGCUUUUCGGGACUGCUUGGAAGUAUGUGGCUUGGUAGAUCUUGGAUUCGGAGGGGUGCCUUUCACCUACGACAACAAACGAGCUGGUGCAAAUAAUGUUCGGGUUCGGCUUGAUAGAGCAGUGGCUACAAAUUUGUGGAGGAACAUGUUUGCCUUCACGGUUGUCUCUCAUAUUGCAUCACCAUGUUCAGAUCAUAUAGUUCUUUUACUCAAGGCCUCGGCCGACCCAGGGCCGACGGGUGCAAAGCCAAGGAGGUAUGAGUUAUUCUAG